CAAUCUCACAUGGAAACCUAGCAUGUCUUCUUUAAAUUCGGGAAAUACAACCCCUUCUAGGUUUCCUGGGCUAAAAUGGUAGCUUUCCCCAUGGAUUGGUGUUCCCCGUUCUAGCCCAAUAACCCAGUUUGUUUAAUUAACGUUUACUGGAUUAGCAGGCGGGAGACCAUGCUUGUCCGUGUGCUAUACAUUUUUUUGGGGGAUGUUGAUGAAUUCACUUUUUGCCAAAUUGCUCUCUGGCUCUGGACUUGCAUCUGUGUAGAUUCCGGAAAACGACUAGCACUAUUCAGUGAUUUUUUGUCAAGUUCCUGCUCACUGAGAUCACUAACCUGCUUUCGGUCACUUGGUCUGAAUCAUAGACUUGUUCCUUUUCCAAGACAAUAUCUUGUUGGUGUAUUCACCCAGCGGCGCCCUGUAAGUGUAACUCAACUCUAGGAAUCUCAGGGGGGGCGGAACCAAUCGUUUCUCAUGUGUUGUAUAGCAGAAUAUUUUUGUCUCUUUCUCUCUCUCUCUCCAAAAAUAAGCUAAACAGCGUAUAGUUAUAUAUACAGCAGCAAUCUCGCAUGUGCAAUGCAUGUUUUCAUCUUGAGCUCCCAUGUGAAUGUAUUGCUUUGCAUCACAAUAAAAAAUACUCGACCCUUAGGGUAAGAAACCCAGAAGACUUUUUUUAGGUCGAGGAAAGGCCCCGAACGCUGUCUCCACCCACUGCGGCGGCGCAAUUGGUGACCUGACACGACCAGGGAACAAACUUGGCGAGGGGCCUUUAUUUGUGAGAACCAGGGUUCGAGCUUGGGUUGGCAGCCCCAACACAAGGGGGGAAUACCACCCUGGUAUCCGCAUGUUCUCGCUUUGCCUCAUAAUAGCAUAUCAAAUGCAAUCACUGAAAUAGUAAAUACAUUUACAGAGAAAGUAGUCACUUUUAAUAUUAUUUCUCAUGAUAUAACCAUACUUUGUCUUGAUAGUAGUACCAUUCUGCAAGGAACAUCAGUACUACACUUUGAACUGGUGGAAAAUCAAUAUUAAUGGAGAGCUGUCCCUUUUUAUGACAUUCUCGUAUUCACACCAUGAAUAGUUGAUUCUAUGCACAUUGAUUCUGAAGAGAACCAAGAUUUAUUGCCUUGGAGUGUGAAUUUUGGAGAGCACGGGUAGGAGAUAUAUCAUGAGGUGUUAACUAGAGGUGUUCAUUGAGGAAGUUAUUGUCUAAUUAAUGCUGAAUUUGUUAGGGUCCAACCAAAUUUGUCAGUCGUUGGAUAGCUAGACGGAGGGUUCAUAUUUUUUGGAUUCUGCUCACUUGGCUUUUUAUAUUGGUGUAAAUACAGGAAGUAAUUGAAGUUAUGUGCUACUCCCUCCAUCCAAAAAUACAAUGACAAAUCCUAAUCUGAGAAAUCCAAAAAAUACACGGACAAAUUGAUCCUUGAGCUCCCAUGAAACAUCCCUAUAUACUCGUUACUGUGCAGUUGGCCUAGCGGGAAAUUUACUCAGGGGGGAUAUAAAUAAGAGGAAAUAUAUACAAGACCAAUGCUUUUAGAUAGCCAGUUUUGCAUGCCAGGUUUAAGAGAUCCUACGUUUGAUGAAUAACCAGAUAAAACUCUUCGAAUAAUAUUUUCGAAGAUCUACUUGUCUGGCUUGACUCGCGUAACUGCUACAUUUCUUGAAUGGCAACUGCCUACAUAACUUGUCUCCCUCUUUUCCUGGCAGAAAGUAUCAGACCUUAUUUAGUUCUUGGCCCCUUUUUUUAUUCCAAUUCCUUCCUGUGCUGAGUUCUUUACAGCCUGUGCACGCACGAGAUAACCAGUGACUGAGGAUGCUCUC